AGUGAACGCUGGCGGCAGGCCUAACACAUGCAAGUCGAACGAGUGGCGGACGGGUGAGGAAUACAUCGGAAACUACUCGAUCGAGGGGGAUAACUACUGGAAACUGAAGCUAAUACCGCAUACGAUUGGAUGUGCCGAGGUCGGAUUAGCUAGUUGGCGGGGUAAAGGCCCACCAAGGCGACGAUCCGUAGCUGGUCUGAGAGGAUGACCAGCCACACUGGAACUGAGACACGGUCCAGACUCCUACGGGAGGCAGCAGUGGGGAAUAUUGGACAAUGGGCGCAAGCCUGAUCCAGCCAUACCGCGUGUGUGAAGAAGGCCUUCGGGUUGUAAAGUACUUUUGGCGGGAAAGCGGUACUCGCAGAAUAAGCACCGGCUAACUCCGUGCCAGCAGCCGCGGUAAUAC
rnacentral:rRNA from 1 species